rnacentral:RNase_P_RNA from 1 species
UUGGCAGACCACCUUAUCGCCGUAUGACAAACUUGAUUCCAAAUCCGACAAAAUUUGGAGUCAAGUUAGGAUUAAGGAGGAAAGUCCGGACACCGUAGUACAGCAUAGCGGGUAACGCCCGUCCGUUGAAAGAUGAGGACCAGUGCAACAGAAAGCAAGUACAGUUAGGCUGUAGUGAAAUCAGGUAAACUCUAUGCGGUGAAACGCCAUGUAAACCAAUGUUUGAGGGUUGUACGCCCAAAUUGGAGGGUAGGCGGUUAGAGCUUUUGGGCAACCAAAAGCCUAGAUAAAUGGUAAGGCUCGACAGAAUCCGGCUUAUGGUCUGCCUUUUUA